ACCCGUGUAGCAAAGUGGUAUUGCGUCUCCCUUCUAUCCCGUCCGAAAGGAGAAGGUCCAGGGUUCAACCCCCUGCAUGGGUG